AGAGUUUGAUUCUGGCUCAGGACGAACGCUGGCGGCGUGCUUAACACAUGCAAGUCGAACGGAAAGGCUCCAGCUUGCUGGAGUGCUCGAGUGGCGAACGGGUGAGUAACACGUGGGCAAUCUGCCCUGCACUCUGGGAUAAGCCUGGGAAACUGGGUCUAAUACCGGAUAGGACCUUUCUCCUCAUGGGGUUUGGUGGAAAGUUUUUCGGUGCAGGAUGAGCCCGCGGCCUAUCAGCUUGUUGGUGGGGUAAUGGCCUACCAAGGCGACGACGGGUAGCCGGCCUGAGAGGGUGAUCGGCCACAUUGGGACUGAGAUACGGCCCAGACUCCUACGGGAGGCAGCAGUGGGGAAUAUUGCACAAUGGGCGAAAGCCUGAUGCAGCGACGCCGCGUGAGGGAUGACGGCCUUCGGGUUGUAAACCUCUUUCAGUAGGGACGAAGCGCAAGUGACGGUACCUGCAGAAGAAGCACCGGCUAACUACGUGCCAGCAGCCGCGGUAAUACGUAGGGUGCGAGCGUUGUCCGGAAUUACUGGGCGUAAAGAGCUCGUAGGCGGUUUGUCACGUCGUCUGUGAAAUCCUAGGGCUUAACCCUGGACGUGCAGGCGAUACGGGCUGACUUGAGUACUACAGGGGAGACUGGAAUUUCUGGUGUAGCGGUGGAAUGCACAGAUAUCAGGAAGAACACCGAUGGCGAAGGCAGGUCUCUGGGUAGUAACUGACGCUGAGGAGCGAAAGCAUGGGUAGCGAACAGGAUUAGAUACCCUGGUAGUCCAUGCCGUAAACGGUGGGCGCUAGGUGUGGGGUUCCUUCCACGGGCUCCGUGCCGUAGCUAACGCAUUAAGCGCCCCGCCUGGGGAGUACGGCCGCAAGGCUAAAACUCAAAGAAAUUGACGGGGGCCCGCACAAGCGGCGGAGCAUGUGGAUUAAUUCGAUGCAACGCGAAGAACCUUACCUGGGCUUGACAUAUAGAGGAUCGCUGCAGAGAUGUGGUUUCCCUUGUGGCUUCUAUACAGGUGGUGCAUGGUUGUCGUCAGCUCGUGUCGUGAGAUGUUGGGUUAAGUCCCGCAACGAGCGCAACCCUUGUCUUAUGUUGCCAGCACGUUAUGGUGGGGACUCGUGAGAGACUGCCGGGGU
rnacentral:rRNA from 1 species